rnacentral:tRNA from 1 species
UCCCGUGUGGCUCAGUUGGUAGAGCAUGGUGUUUGCAACGCCAGGGUCGUGGGUUCAAUUCCCACGGGGAA